UACGUAGGGGGCAAGCGUUGUCCGGAAUCAUUGGGCGUAAAGAGCGUGUAGGCGGUCCGGUAAGUCCGCUGUGAAAGUCAAGGGCUCAACCCUUGAAUGCCGGCGGAUACUGUCGGGCUAGAGUCCGGAAGAGGUGAGUGGAAUUCCUGGUGUAGCGGUGAAAUUCGUAGAUAUUAGGAAGAACACCAGUGGCGAAGGCGGCUCACUGGCCCGGUACUGACGCUGAGGCGCGAAAGCGUGGGGAGCAAACAGG
rnacentral:rRNA from 1 species